GUGUCGUGAGGGCGCGCCGCUCUGGGGCGGUGCCGCGGCGCGGCGGGGCCUGGCCGGGCUGGGCCGGGCUGCCCCUCCCCGGUCCGAGUGAAGGCUUGGGGCACGAGUUAACCGGCGUCCUCCCUCCCUGCGGCGACCUAUCGGUGCCUUUCGGGGACCCGCCGGUGCUUCCCAGCGCCUUGCCUCUGCUGGGGCCGGGGCUUGGUCCUGGGGGCCUCAGCCAUUAACAUUACCGAGAGGUUUCUGCCGCCGGUGCACGGCUUCGGGCCUCGUUCGGCGUUUGCCAUCUCAGGUUUAAAUAGAGCUGUAGGAGGGAGUACUUACAGAAUUUUGCUGUCACAUGUGAAGGAUUCCACUUGCAUUCAGCAGCUGCUGCAGUUUUACUGCCUCUUGUUGGAGAUCACCAAACCCACAGUAGAGCUGGCAUCUCCCCAUCUGUUUCAUGGCAAAGUAUGACUUCUUCAUUCAGACCCACCCGCACUGGUGUUUCAAGCUGAGAUGCUGAGUUUGCAUUCAGAGCAGCUGACAAAUGCAUGUCCUCUUCUGGAAGCCCUGCUAUAGCAGUGGUUACUUCUGUCGGAUGAGUAAAAACAAAUGGCCAGAGUCAACAGUAUCUUAUAGCGAGGUUUGAGACGUGUGUUAAAAUUUAAGCUGGAUUUUUAUAGGGAAAAAAAUACCUCUACUUUAAAUACUGGUUUAUAAUGCCCUCCCUAGGAUGUAUAAUGUACUGUUUCAGUUUCUGCUCUCACCCAGUUCUGUUCUUCAGUGCAUCUCCUUUCCCCAAACUGUCCUUUUUCAUACUGCUGGGUUUUUUGCGCUUCUCUGUCGUUGGCACCUGGGCAAAUUACGUAUUUCUUUUUGCCUAGGCAUGUUCUUUCUCUGUCAUGUGAGCUAGAUCACUCCAUUUCUGUCCUCAGCAUUCCUGGAUGAUGACAAGAAAGAGCCCAGAGUGUGGUAGGGCAUUUCUUCUCUCUUGCUCAAUUUAAAAAAAAUAAUUGCAAGUUCUGCUUAGCAGAGAGGGACUUUAUGGUGAUCUCACUAUUAGCCUCUUACCAAUCUAUGGCUUCGGAGUUUUCUAACACUAAAUGCUAUUAGGGCAGUAAAAAUGCCCUCUUAACUUCAGAUGGAUAUCCAGAAAAGUUCAAAUUUUUGCUCAAAAGCACUGGAGCGCUCUAAUUAAGCAUGUCUAGUAUUUCUUCUUUUGGCAAAAUAUUACACUUCUUGGAUCUUGUCUUCCUAGAUUGCACUCCCGUUGCUUUGACUUGAAGCAAGGACGUAAUGGUUAGUGAAAGCCCCGUACUUGCAUGAAGUGUUAAACGGGAACUUUAGAUAUCCUUUAUAAGAAAAAAAACUCUUCACAGUAGGAGGUAGGUAUAAUUAGCUGAUGGUGCCUGAAACAAUUACCUUGUCCUCCUCCUGUUAACAAACAUGCUCAACUUACUUUUCAAAAUGUGGCCUGAGUAAUUUAGGGCAACAAGAAAAAGGAGGGUUUUGUGGCUGAGGCACAAGAUUUGCAUUAUGCUUUAGAUUCUGGUGCUGGUCCAUUUUGCUAAUCCAUUAUGACUAAGUCUCAAGGACUUAGAUGAUUGCAUGCUUGGUUCUGCUGAUUGCCCACCCGGAACUACAGUCCAGAGCCGUGACUGAGGUUUGGGGUUAGGAAGGGGUCCUGGCAGGAGAGCCCUUAUUGCGUAUUACCUGAUAUUCUCAUCUGUCUCUCUCCAAGAUCUGCUUUAGCUCUGCUGCUUUCAAGUUCUACGGUGGUGGCUGAUAAAAGUUACUGUAGCACACUUGGUCAGCUGGGCCUAUUGCCCAGACCCGAGCGUACACCCUGUCAUUGCAGGUGUUACACAUGUGGCUGGGCCUAGAAGUUGGCCACCUUCACAGAAACUGCUUUUUUUGAAACCCCAGGCUUGAGAUUAAGCUGGAAGACACAAGCGUUUCCUUUGUCACCUUCAGGGAACCUAUGCCAAACAGGAAUUGAAUGAGGGGUAAUAAUUCUUUAACUGUAAAUCUUUGAAGUAUUUUGCAAUCCAGAUAAGAUGACUUACCUGAUGGACGAUGGACGUGUUACUUCCUUUCGUGUAAAUGUUAAUAGAACUACCAAAUGUGAAAAAGAGCAAAGUUUACACAGUACUUUUCACUACAGCAGUUGAUUAAUGUUAGACUACACAGAUAGGUGUUUUCUAAACAUAAGUUCUGCCAAAGUUAAAGAUCCUUUGUAACUUAAAGCUCUAAGUGGAUACAAGAAUUUUCUUUUGUGGCAGUGGUAUUAUGAUUUGUGAGUGCAAUUGGUUUUUAUUCUAGGCUGUCAUGGAAAUAAGGAAGUUAUUGAAAUGUGUUCAGACUUCAAUAAAUUUCCUUUUCUGUUGCCUAGGAAUCAUGACUUUUUGAUACAUGAUGGAUUGCACUAAACUGUUGGAAAUUCUACAAACCCAGCUUUAUAGUUAGCCACAGGAAACAUUUUUAAAUUGUACCCGAAAAGUGUUAAUAUUGAAGUUUGUUUUUUUUUUAAUUAUCACAGCUGAUAGUUGAUUUAAAAAAAAAAGUUUUGUAGUUCAGGAACUGCAUGAUCUUUUUCACAUCUCAGUGUUUUCCUUUUCUGUUUAGCUACAGAGCAAUGCCAUGUGCUAAAAUUGCAUUGUGAAAGCUAAAACCUUGGUGGCCUGUGCUAAAGAGAUAAGGAAGAACGUGUACCUUUUGAAGGGCGUGCUGGUUUCUUUAAACUGAGAGCCUAGCUGAUAACACUGUUUGCCUUUGGUAGCCUACUUAGCCCAGAUAGCCUUUUCAGUGCUAGAUAAUGUUUUGAGCAGAGCCAAUCCCAAAUUGAAUAAUUUGUUUAAUAAGAAAUAAAGAGGGAAAAAAAAACCCUACAUCAAGACAUUGCAGAGCUCUGUAUUUUGAAUCUUCUUGAAUAUGGGCAAAACCAGUUUUGCUUUCUUGUAUUUGGGGCUAUUUGAAGAAGAGUGUUUCUUCACUCACACGAAGAACUGUAUGUGUUUCCCUUACUGAACUUGUGAAGGAGCAGUCAUUUUGGCAGUGAAGGAAGUGUCAUUCUCAGGCAGUCGUGACAUGGGAGAGGUAAUGAUUAGAUACUUUAUAACAUGCCUGAAGCAAACAAAGCGAGAGGUUUGUGCGGUGGGAUUUUCUCCACUGCUAAGUGCAGGGUAUGUAUUGGAAAGUGGUCAUGCUGGUCUUGUGCUGCUGGCUCAGACUGGAGUGAGCUCUGGCACGAAGAGCUUCCUGGCAGAUCCCUGGCUGUUCGUUCGGGCUGUUUGGGACCCCUCAGUCACCGCCCCACUCUGCUGGCACAGAGGUUUGUGGCCAGUACGUGGCUGUGGAAUGUAAACACCAGCUUGUACAGUGCAACAUGGGUUGCCAUGCCCCAGCCCUCCACCUGCAAGCAGCUACCGGGCCAGUGGUUUUGAGCCACAGCCUGUUUUGAAGCAUUUCCUACUGUCAUUGUGGAGAUUCUGCAUGAUUUCUUUCUCUGUCACUGAGGAAAUCAGCUUUGAAGACAAAAUGGCAGCAGAGGGGUCUGAGCUUGGUCUUGUAUUUGGUGCAGAACAACCUGCGCCCCACCAAGGGGCUGGAGCACCCACUGCCUGCUUGUGCUGGUCAUGAACUGGAGCGUGCCAUGCAGCCAUGCCUAAGGACGAUUUCCAUACUGAACAUCAGUAUGUAUCACAACCAACCUGCCAGCAAAGGUGUCCAUAGGGAAUAAGCUGUGUCCUGUAUUUUUGACCCAGUUACCGUUUCUUUUCUGCAGUGGCUGGCAACCAGGCAGUGCUGUGACAGCCAGACUGUGCUGCAAGCGGGGUUACGCUGCUGGAGUCCUGCUGGGAUAUGCAACUGCUCCAUACGCCCAUGGUUGUAGUGGGCCAGAGGAGGUCCAUAUGCCCACAGCUGCAGUGGGCUGGAGGAAAUGUGCUCAGCACUUUUCACUCAAUCAACAAGAUCAAAGUCCUUAUGCCCUGUGUAGAUGACCUUCACAUAGGUGCUGGGGAUAAAGUUUGGCUCGGCUGUGGGGCCAGGAGUGAGUAUCUUGGCUAAAUACUGAUCUUAGGCUAGGGACACAGAAUUUGAAGCAGUCAAGUUAGCAAGUUAGAAUCAUAGAACAGUUUGGGUUGGAAGGGACCUUUAGAAGUCAUCUAGUCCAAUCCCCCUGCAAUAAGCAGGGACAUCUUCAACUAGAUCAGAUUGCUGAGGGCCCCAUCCAACCUGACCUUGAAUGCUUCCAGGCAUAGGGAAUCUACCAUCUCUUUGGGCAACCUGUUCCAGUGUUUCACGACCCUCAGUAUAAAAUUUCUUCCUUAUAUAUAACUUCCAUCUCAUCUGCUGAAUUUGGCCUGUUCCUGAACAAGGUAACAUGUUUCAGAUUACCAAAGCUGCUGAGUUUCUGUCCAUCAGCCGAACCAUUGCUUGGGAUUGAGCUGCUGUUGUGCCGCCAGUGGUGUGUGCUAGUCUGAAACCCUGAAGAAGGUGGGAGCUGUUUCAACUGCUCUGGAGUACCAGGCUGGGUCUGGGGGUCCGUGCCUGUCCUGUGGUGCGAGGGUCACGCAAUGAAGUAUUCAUAUACAUCCAUGUCUUCAACGUCUUUGAAAAUAUAUGCAAGCAAUAGGAAAGUGCACAGGCUGUUUCCUUCGCUGUCCUCCAUCAACAUAGCUACACUCUUGAUGAAGCCCUCCCAGUAGGAAUGAACAGAUGAUAUCCUCUGUUCCCAGUUUGGUCUGAGAGCCAGCCCACAGCGGCUCCCCUGGUUCUUCUGCCUUUCUUUAGUCCAGUGUUGUAGUAAUGGCACAAAGCCUUUCUCCCUGUUGUGAACAGAGGUUAUUGUAGCCAAGGCUGCUUUAUACACCAGCAUCUCAAGUAACUGGACAACCGGUUAGAAACAAUUACCUUCUCCAUCUCCAGGCUUUUCCCCUUAUGCCUUUCAGCUAGUUGCACCAAAAAAACCCUGCGUUUCCUAACAAAAGAGCCUUGUUCUCCACUGCUGUUUCAGCUGGGAUCGAGUGUCGGGUACGCCUGCCUGCUGCGUCCCCCGCAUCCCCCGCGAGCUCCCAGCUUGGGGUCUGCCCUGCCAGAGUCCGGGGUCAGAGAACUGAUGGGGAUCUUCUGUCUAGCUGCUAUCCCUGCCCUCGUGUGUCGCUGUGAACGGGAGCCAGAAGGAGGUGGCUAGAGGCAGCGGUACCGAGAUGCAACUCCCAGGCAUUACUACUGCUGCUAUUUAUAAUUUCCCCUGUCUGUGCCAUGUUGAUGCGACAAUAGGAUAGCUGUUUUGCUAGGCAAGCUGUAUUUUUUUUUUACCACUGAUACUUCUUGCUUUGUCAUUGUUUCCUUGCUUUAAUAGGAAGCCACCUUUGUAUUUUUUUUAUGAAACACCUCACUAAUUUCUAUAAAUAAGAAGGGCGAGGCACAUACUGGAGAAACUUAAAAUAUUUGCAGUGAAAACCAGUGAUACAUACCAGAGGUGUAUGGACUGGGAAUUGACCAUGACUCACCAUCACUCUGAAGAACCGUAUCCAGUGAUUGCAGCAUUUGCCACUUGAUGGCUUCUUCUUCAUGGGUUGCUGGUGGCCUGAUCUGGAGGGUGCUGGCCCCUUAUGCUGGGCUUCUACGGGAAUCUUCCUGUGCUUUAUCCGGGGCAUGGCAUCACUUUGCUGGACUCAGGUUGGGGAACUUGAUGUGCUGGAUGACAGAGCCUGCCAGGUAGGGCUGUCUAGUUAUUAGUUUCUCUGGCAGCAACAAGGAUUGAAACAUUUCAGUUUCAGUUUCAGUAAAAUCCGCUAACAAUCCAGAAGGGAACAAGAUCCUAUCUGCAGGAGCUUGCCCAGAGAGCUGAAUGGAGAGUUAUAGCCCUAUGACACCAUUUACAGAAGGUUGGCACAGGAGCUUUCUAGCUACUUAACACUCCCUGCAGUUUCAUGGGCUUUGCCACAGCAAUAUGCUCUCGCAGGUGGUGUAUGUCCUAACUGGUGUUUUGAAUUCAAAAUCUUAAGAAUAGAGGUGCAGACAGUGAGCCAGUGGGUAUUCCAAAGCGGACCAUCCGCUGAGAGCAAGGAGAGAGGGCAGCCCUUCCAAAAAAUGAUGUCGCUGGAAACACGCCUACCUUCAUACAAGGUCUGUUGCUGAGCAUGAAGUGUUCCAGCCCGGCACUCUGCCCAAAACCACUGUUUUCUCUUUUGAAAAGCAGAUCUAUAAAUUAUAGGUGGGCUUGCACCAGAAGCUGGGAUGUCAGAAAUUGCAUAUGUUUCUGGAAACAUCUGAUUCGUGUCCAAAAUCUGCUGCUAGUCUCUGCUCUGCUGUAUCUCAGGUUGAAUGUGUGAGCUGUGUGGCAUCUGGAGACCUCUCUUAUUUCACCUGUACAGCCUCAGCCUGAAUCUAACCCACGUUUAUUUAACAGGCUGAAUUUAAGCUGCCGGUUACAAGCCUACAUCCUGAGAGGUCCUUUCUCCUGGAAGCGGCAGAAUCCUCCCUUCAGCUCACCCCCCUGAAACAAUGGGGUGAAAAGUCACGUCUGCAGUAUGCAACUUAAAAAGGAGUGUAAGAAGGUUGUCUUUCCCAACUAUUUGUCUCCUGAUGUCUCACCAUGUAGGUGACCACAGCAAUUCAAAACAGCUUAUUUUAUGUGAAAAAGCUAAUUGCUCCUUCCUUGGGGUCUCCUUCAUGUUCCACUUUUUAGACAGUUAAUUGCCAUCCCCAUUCUGUGGCAACAAAUCAACGGCACACAGAUCUCAGAUCAGAGCCUUUACUGCUUCUCUGGCUUCCUCCCUGCUGCUUCACACCCUUCAGAGGUUUAAAAAGAAGUUAACAGCAGGACAGGGAAGCUUGUCCAGAACGACUGAUUUCCUUUUGCUGACCCUGAUGGGGUCGUGUCCUGUAACCCUUGUGGAGCAAGGGAGGAUGCCACUGCAUCUUUUAACUCACUUUAUUUUCCUGGCAGUGCUGCCCCUCUGUCCAGGGAGGGCUGAGCUGGGAUCCUGCCAUCGCCUGCUUGUGGCACAGGGUGAGGGAUGCUCUCCUGUGUUAAAAUGUGAAAAAUGAUGGCACUUGAGGAUAGCCUCACCUCUAAACCAUGCAGUGCCCUGGAGGAAGGUCCAAGAUCGCUCCCAGCUGGACAGGAAUAACUGAAUCAAAAUGCUUCAGCCUUUCCCACCAGCCCAGUGGUUCAUGUCACCAGGCAUGUCCGGCAGGCACAGCCCCCAUCUCUGCGGGCUGCCAGUGAUGCGCAGGGUGACGGGGCUGGGUGCAGGCAGAGGAGAGCUGGGCACGGCUGCUGCUGUGGCAGGUGAGGGGAGCACGGUGGCAGGGUUUCUGGCCUUUUGAGGGCUACCAACUGUAUGUCCCUUGUACCACACUGCUGGGGACAAGGUGUGCGGAAGCAAAGGCAGCCUGUCUCCUGGGUGCUGUGAGUGCUGGGGAUACAACAUGGUCACGCCUGUAUUCCCACUACCAUUGUAGUGGCUGGUGGCCAGUGACUAAAUAACCCCUGAGUCAAUUUUUAACUUUCCCAGCACACGAGUUCCUUUUUCAGCAAGAUGACGCGUCCCCCUGGGAGGCUCAGGCACUGAUGCAGCAGCCGUCUUGCUGGAUUUCCCCUCCUGCUGCUGAUGGAAACCACCACUUCCUUCCCCACCUCCCUUCUGGCCCCUUCCCUGCCCCGUUCCCUGGAACAGAUGGGCGCCUGCUGUCCUCCCCAGUGCCCCUCCAGCCCCUGGGAGAAACACCAGGUCCCCGUACCAUUUCCCCUUACCUUCCCCUGAUCCCCAGGGGAAGGAUGAUGGAAAAAGCUGUCCUGAGUGGUACAUGCUAAAUGCACUGAGGGGCCUCGGUGUGGCAUGAGGUCGGGGAAGAGGGUUUCAAGGCUCUUAACAGCACGUGGCCAUCACACCUGAGAAGCACUUGGGCACUGUCACUGUCGGUCCCACUCCAGGCAGAGGUGUCAGUUUAAUUGGCAGGCAUGCAGCUGCCCUCCGUCUCACUUAAAUGAGAUUUCUUGUUUUGUUGGGGAACAUGCCCGGCUGCUUUGAAAAGGAUGCUCGUGGUUUUCUGAGGGCAAAUAUGUUUCAUGUGCUCCAUUGAGAUAGAGUGGUGCUGCCUCUCGCAAGUGUGUGGGGGGUGAGCCCCAAUCAAUCAAUUAGCACUGAUUAACCAGAGGAAAGCUAGCUCAGGUAACCUAAUCCUGCUCCCUGAGUACCAGAGCAGAGAGUGAUUCAGAUCAUGGUGCACCUCUAUCAUGGCCUCAGACACAUGGGGUAAGCUGUUCCUGGCUGCUUUUAAGUAGGGAAUUAAGCUUGAAAGCAUCAGGGCUGGGCAGGGGCUGCCCUAGGGGAGAAAAGGAUGGGGAGCAGGGGUGGGAGGACAGGGUCAGGGUCAGGCAGUGGGAAAGGGUUGAUGAGGCAUGGUCACACCACAGGGAGCUGGCUCGCAGGGCUGCCUUUGGGAUGUACCUCAUUUCAGAGCUCCCUGGUUCUCAGAUGUUUGUACUUAAUUGCUGAAACCCAGGAAUUAAAGCGAUGUGAGCUGCACGGUGGCAGAGGCAGCACUGCAGCAGCCCCAGGUUUGCUUGGCUGUUUUCCAUUGCAGCAUUGCAAACAGACCCCGGAGGUGCCUGGCUGCAGCGCGGAAUCAUAGGGGCUCCUCUGGUCAGAGUCUCCAGCCCAGCUCCCAGCAAAUGGAGUUGCCUCUGCAGGUCUGGACCCAUCUGCUGAGAGGUCUCAUCAGAUCCACUUUGUGACAGACUAAGGGCUGGGGAUGCGGUUUUAUCCAGCAGGGAGCUCUGGUGUGUUUCGAGCAGUUGAAAUGGCUGGUGUGGCUGGUGGGAAGCUCCAACGGUGUGGGUGAAUGGGACCUGUGUGUACUCCUGAAGAGACUCGUGAAAGAACAUGGGCAAAGUCGCUGUCUGCCCAAACUGAGAGGCCUCUGAUGGCCACGUUUUUAUCCUUCACACCCUGAGGCUUGAGUGCAGCAGUGCAGCUCAGAGCUUGCAUGCGGGACGUGCAUUUGAGCCCUUCAAGUCCUUAGCCAAAGCUUUACCAUGCAAGGGAAAGGCAGAGCCAGAGCUUGCGAAAGUCUUUCCUGGAAUGGUGGGAUUUUAAGGUGGAUUCAGCAUUUGUGAGAUUGCGCCUGGAGGACUGUGUCCAGUGUUGGGGUCUUUGGGCCAAAAGGAGGACUGAUAGAUGGGAGCAUAUCCCAUGGAGACCACGGACAUGGUUCUGGAGCUGGAGAAUAGGAUGUAGCAGGAGAGGCUGCAAGAGCCAGGGAUGUCCAGGGUGGAGAUAAGAAGACCAAGCUGGCUACAGAUGCCUCCAAGGAGAGCACGGAGAAGGUGGUGCUUAGAGGUGCAUGGAGAAAAGAGAAGAGGCAAGAUGCAAACUAAUACAAGGAAAAAAAUCCUCAUUCAGAGGGUGGUCCAGCACUGGCAGGGGCUGCUCUGACAUGUGGUGUCAUCUCCAUCCUAGGAGAGAUUCAAGACUCAGCUGAGCAAGGCCCUGAGCAGCCUGGUCUGACUUUGAACUUGUCCCUGCUUUCAGUGGGGACAGAUGACCAGGUGACAGCCAGGGGUCUCUGAACUACUCAGUUUUGACAAGUCUUGGCUCUGCUGGGUGCUGAGUCCUCUGAACGUCACCACCCCCACAGAGGUUGUUAGUGCUUUGAUGGUUCCUCUGAGCUGGAGCUUGUGGAGAUCUCUUGCACUUCUUGGCCUGGCGGAGUGGGGACACAAGAAGAGAUUUCAAGGAGAAAUUCUGGUUUACCUCUCUGGUCAGAGCCAGACCAACUGUUUUGAUGUAAAGAGAUGGUCUGCAAUGGCCAGCGACUGCAAAAGGCUGAAUUGAAGCUGGCUUGCACUAGAGAUGGAGGAAGAAAGGCUGGAAGGGAACAGCCUGGUAUCUCUUCCGCAGUGCUUUGCUAACAGUACCGAAGUGCUUACUAUUUUUUUGUUGCGGUUCCAAGACUGGCAUUUUUAACACAAUAUUUUGUCACUUUAUUAUUAGCGGGAGCAAGACUUACAGCUGCUCUUGAACUCAAGAGAGAUUUUGAAGCCCUCCUACCUCCAGCAGAAGCCACCUGCACCUGGCACCUCAGCAGGUGCAGCCUGCAAUGGCCUCAUGCAGCCCUUCCUUCCCCAGCCUGCCAGGGGUGCGGGGCUGAGGCUGCUCGGGGAGAGCUGAGAACAGCACGGGCUGUUUGCUGCAGUAUUUUAAGCAGGAAGAGAUACCAGGCUAUGAUUAUCUUCCGUGUGGAUGUGAACAGAUGAAACGCAGUGUAAUUUAUGAUUCUUGUGUUCAAAUUGCAAGGCACCACGAGCUGCCAAGGUGGCUGAGGAUUGAGCGUCGGCAGCAGCCUGCAGGUUGGAUUGCAGCAGGCAUCAAAGUUUCAGGGAUGCUCAAGGGCAGGUUCCUCUUGUUCCUCAGAUCUGCAUGGCAUUUGGUGAGGUGUAUGUGGAGACGAAUGGCUUGCUUUCCCCCCGUUUUCAGUGGGAGAGUUUGCCCUGGGCUUCCCUGGGAGCAUCGUGGAGAGGUGUGGGUGGGGACUGAGAGCAGGUUAAAAGAACAGUCCUUGCAGUGCCUCGUGUGCCUCUGUCAGCCUAAUGAAAACCUAAUAAUUAGGACUGCCAUUCUCUUUAUCUUUAAUUACGAGGUAGCGCUUUAUUUUAGAGGGUAAAAGUAACCCUGUAAUUACCUCGUACAAUUACUCGGUUAUUAGCCAGUCUGUGACGCUGCAGACACCCAGGAGAGCCCUUGGCAGGCUGUCACAGGGCUAUGUGGGCUGCACAGGACCCCUGGCAAAACCGAUCCAUCCUCUUACCCAGACCACACGCAGAGCCCGCGGGGAUGAGGACAGUGUGAGGCUCCAGGCAGAAGCAGAUGGCCUCUGGCAGCGAGGCACAGCCCUCCAGGAGCCUUUGGCUCAGCUUCUGUGUGCUGCUGAGGCCUCACCAUCCCACGUUUAGCCCAACUGCUUUCACCCCCGGGCACUAUUCUUCCUCCGGGGCAGGAGGUGGCAUUGCCUCUGCCCAGGGAGUUGGCAGCCCUGCCUGCCUCGCUCGGAUCUGAAGCACCAAUGAGUUUACGUGGUCGCUACAGCGAGAGCCAAAGUGGGCUUCGCUGGGCAUGGGGGAGGAGAGCGGUGCGCUGGCACAGGGAGCGCCUCGGGGUCAACCUGGCUGCCCGGUGCCCUGCAGGCUCACAGCCACGCUUAAAACAUGCCGGAUGGGUUAGCUUUUCCUCCUGCUGACAAGCCCUGGACAGGUGGAAGCCCUUUUCUCAGCUUAGCCUCCAUCAGUGCCUGCUGCCUGUAGCCCCUGCCCUGCUGGGCUGUGGGGUGGUCUCUCAUCCUCACUGCCCCCCACCAGGUUUGCUCCUUUAGCUGAGCCAUUCCAGAGCCUGUCUGGUAUUUCAGCCCCUGAAGAAAUUAGUAACUGAUUUAUGUAACAUCUCCUGCGACUGCGGGGUCUUUGCAGAGAUGCAACGGCGAACGAGUACGCUACUGGCAGAAUAAGAAAAAGCUGCCAAAACCCUCCCCCAGGGUUAGCCAUGGGAGUCGUGUGGCCAGGCCAGGUGCCACCCCCGCUGUCCUGCAGCAGCACCCAUACCCCUGUGCUGCGACUGCGGCUCAGCUGUGCAGGCAAGGCCCCAGCAGCCACAUCAGCUCAUCCUUCCCAGUGCCUGAGCAAGUUCUGGAGCUUCUGGCCUCCCCUGCUUCCACAGGCGUGAGGCUGAGCCCUGUCCCAGCAGCACAGCGCUCAGCACCAAGGUGGCUUCUCACCCAGCACCCGUUCACGCUGGCAUCGCCUGCCAGCACCUCUCCUGCAGCCUCUGCCUGGGGGCACGAUGCCUAGCCGGCACAGAAGGCUGCACAUUGCCAGGCCAGCUCACAUUUUGGUGGGAGCCGGGGUGCUGCCAGCUCUUGCUCUCCUCCUGGCUCCCUGCCGAGGUCUCAGUGGCCAUCUCUCACCUCUGGUCAUCAGUGCUUGUGGUGGGGCGCGAAGGAUGGUCUCCCCAUACAGGGACACUGGAUCCUGCAGCACUUCCUGGCCCUCCUGGGGCUGAAGCUCUGAGCUUGGAUGGUCCGGGGGUUAUUUUGAGCAUGUGCAUGUCUGUGGGCCAGCGAUGGCAGACCUGAUGUCCCCAUGCAGGAACCGAAACCCACCAGUGCAGCAGCGGUAGGUUGGAAGGCUAAGCAGCAGUGCCAGCUCCCCUCUCAGCAGCUGUGAUUUAGUAGCAAAGUCUAAGUCGGAAAUAACAAAGAAAUGCUUGCAAAAUAAAAAUGCUUUUGAUGUGAAUAGAAAUGUUUAUAAUAAUCUGGAUUUUUUUCAUGUCGAUAAGGCUCAGAAAAUGUGUUUUGUCAAAGUGACAUGCAGCGAGCUCUAGUAGGUGUACCCAUUUCAGAAUAAAAGAAACAGAAGCCACUUACUUGAUGAACCUGAAAGCUUUCUUAGAAUUACAAAAAGGAAUAAAUUACCUUAAUCAUAUUAACUCCUAGGCGGUCGCCCAAAUCUUUGUGAGCAGUAUUCAUUGCAUCCCAAAUGGUGUAGUUUUAAGACAACUUCAGAUGAUCUCAUGAUCUCUUUUUCAGCGGUGUAAGCUAUUGCUAAUGGUUUGGGUUUAAUUCCAAUAUGAGCAUGUCCGGUUCAGUAACCCUCAGUGCAGCAACAUGGCCGCGGCUCUCGCCAGCGAUGGAGCGCCCCGUGGCACCAGCACGUCCCAGCAGCCUCCCCAGGCCUCCACCACGGCAUCAGCCCACGGAGCAUAUCCCCACCGGUGUCUUGGAGAGGGUCUGCUUAAAGCAGUUCUUGCCCAAAGCCGCAGCAGCUUAGCGUGGCAUCUGCCGAGCGGCUGCAAUCAGGACAUCAGCUGUUGAAGCUCCUGUAUGAUCAUGCUUAUAAAGAAUGAAAAAUGAUGUCUCAAUUGUACCUUUCCCUCCAGCACCGUGUUUUCAAUGGUGAUUUCUCAGGCUGUCUUUUGAUCUCAAGUGAGUGGGGCCACUAAAUCUUGCUGUACUUGGACUGGUUUAGCAGUUGUCACCAGUCUUCUUGAUUCAGGAAAUCAAAGCUCUUCGCCAAAGGACUUAUUCAAAUGCAAAAUUAAUUAGGCUUUUUUUAUCUUACUGCAGAUGUACUUCAGGAAUUUUGGAAUAUUAAGAACCCCCAGAGACUACUUUCUUCUCUCCAGUUACCAUGGUUUGUCUUGACAGGCAGCGAUACCCCCCUUUGCAGGCAGCUGCUGGCCAUGCCAUGAGCUUUGGGGAGCAAUGGGAGUGAGUGGGAACAGUCCCAUGUUGUUUCUGGAAGAGUCACCGGACUCUGGGCAGCACAAUAGGGUUGUGGUGGGUGAAGUGUUUUAAGAAAAAAGAUCACUGGGUAAUGGACACCGCAUUAACUCCCCGCUCUCCCUUUCCCAUCCCCUGUCCUCCAGCUGAGCUGGUAGGAGACAGCAAAUGCUGGAAACUGUAAAAUUCAGUUUAUUCACCCUGGAUCCUGGCCGUGUGCGAGGGAGAGAUUCUCAAGUGAAAAUGCACUGAGAAACACUGUGCCCAGCAACUACGAUCUACACGUGGUCCGAUACAACGUCGUGGUACCUCCCUACAGACCUCGCUUGGCUUCUGUCUCCAGCUCAUCACGGUCACAGCAGCACGCUACUAAAGCCAUAAUCUUGCGGCAAACGUUACGAGAUCUCAUCAGCGCGCUGUUUACCUUCAAGUAACAACGCAACGCGAGGACGAGGUAAACUCACAGAUGAAAACCCUUUAUUUGAAUUGUCUAUGAACAGAGUUUACCUUCCCCUCUCCUCGGGGGUGGGCGUGGGGAAAGACAGAGCGAUGUGCUGCUUUACUGUCUAACCUAGUUUCUUUUCAGGUAUAGAAAAAAAUGUAAACAUUUUUAGGCUCGAUAACUAUUUACAUCUUACACAGGAGCAGCGAGCGUGCAGGGCAGGGUUCAGCGCUGCAUCAUGACCUCUGCUUCACGCAGGAGUGGCUCCUGGAUGAGUCAGACCCGUUCAGGUCAUAGAUGCCCACAAAAAACACACCUUUGCUCCACGGGAUGGAAAGGCCGAGUACUGCACGUAGCCCUUGCAGGCUCAAGCUCUGCGUGCAGGCUGCGGUUUCCUAACGGGCUGUGACGAGAAAGGUGGCCCCGCGCUCUCCCAGUGUUGAUACUGGUGUCUCUGUGCCCUUGCGAUCAGGGACCCCAGCCAGCAGAGAAUAAAAAUUAGUUUUCAGCUGCAUCAGUUUUCUGAUUGUGAAACCGCAAUAGCCCAGUCCUCCUGGGGGAGGGACACAGCAGGGCUGCAAAUCAGGCUGCAUUAGCCAUGGUACUUUUGCUUUUCAGUUGUGACACGUGCUUUCUGCCUUGCUGAGCUUCCAGUCCAGUUCCUCUGAAAGGCAGCAGCACGACCCUGUACUGAUUUGAGAAACAGCUCAUUCCCCAUCGGGUACGGGGCACAGCACAGCAGCAGGACUGGCUUCUGGGACUGGAGUGACUCGCUCUGAUGGGCGGCUGCGCGCGGGCGACUGCGGCUCCUUCCCUUUGCUCUGCGGUGAAGAGGGGGUCAGCGUCCUGACGUGCACCACUCCCUGCACAUAGCAUCAGCUCGCUGCAGACAGCUUUGAAUUAAUGAUAAGAACAUGCCCAGGUCCCAUUUGCAGGUUCCCUGAAUGCUUUUUUCUGCUUGAAUACUUACUCGUGGCAGCUUUGCAUGUCAUUUUGCUUUAGCGUUCCGCUGGGUGUGUAUGACAGGUUGAAACAUCAAGGGUUUAUUAUCUGCACAGCUCCUCUGUUCUAUUCAGAGAUUAUGCUUUUGGCAAGAAAUAGCUUCUGGAGGCCCCGAGGUGUCUGUGGGCAGGGGGGUCACUGCGGGCAGGGUCUAUGGAGGGUGCAGCUGCCCCUCUCCGGCUACAUAAGCACAGAAGUGAGAGAAACCUGGAGGGUUCUGCAGCAGCUCCCUGCUGCUUUCCCUGCCGCUUGGCAGCGAGGGAACCGGUUAUAAAAACACUGGGGUUUGCAAUCUCCCUGCUCCUCAAGCCAUCGUCUCCAGCCAUGCAGAGGGUGCCCUUUCUGGGAGCUGCUCGCACGUGUCAGCUCGGCAGCGCUGCUGCAGCUGCCCGCUCCCCGGGACACAGGUUUUUAAGCAUAUGCAGCCUGGUGUUGGUGUUGGGGAAAAGGACAGUGGGCAAGGCCAUGUACGAGCACAAAGGGCUCGUACACAAAGGGGCAGCUCCUCCGCUUCCAGCCAUCAAAACCAGGGACUCACUUGCCCACCAGGGAGGGGCAUCUCCAGGGGAUCCAAUUCACCCUGCAUCUGUUACAGCGGCCAGUCAGUCACCUGAGUAAAGGGUCCCUUUCUUUUCUGUUGGCUUUAGAGGGGGGGCACAGGGAUUACUACCUGUAUCUGCACCCUGCACAUUGACGCCUGCUCCUGGAGGCAGGUGGAGGCAGCACUGCCACUCUGCCACCUCCAUCUACAGUACCUAGUCCAAAGGUGAGAUACUCUGGAGUUCAACACUUUGGCCCGUUUUAUGGCUUGGUGCUGAGGAAUACCAUCCAGGGGCCUUUCUGCUCAAAAUGCUCCAUUAGGCUGGAUGCAGCGUUGAAACUGGGGAGCCUGACAUCUUUCUUCUGCUACGUGACCUGGCACACCAGAUGCUUGCUGUCAUGAGACAGACAACGAUGCUGUCCUACAAGCUAGGCAAAAAGAACAAUUACAGGUACCUCUGGGCAGAAAACACAUGUGUUGCCACUCUACUAAGAGAGCUCGAGUUCAUUACUUACUACAGAAAAUGGAGUUUCAGCAUGGAUUGCCCAUAGCACUUACGUGCAGGCACCACGGCUUUAGUAUUUAGGUCUCCGGACAGUUCUCCACUGAGUUACCUAGCAGAUGGAGCUGCCAGGCAGUCACAGGCAGAGAUGUGAACUCCAGCAUCGCGUCCAGCCUCUGGAGGAAUCCUGCAGAUGCACCAGACAAUGGCUGAGAGCAUAAGCUCCCCCAGGGCAUGUGUUCUGUUUGCCUCUGUAGAGCCCAGCCCAGCAUUUGCUGCCAUUAUCAACAGCACAAACAUCUCCUAAGAGAUUUCCCUCUUCUCUCAGAUAAUUCUGCAUUUUCUGGCAAUUCUGAGAAGCAACAGACCCUUCUCUUGUUGCACCUUCCUCAGCUACAGAAGAGCCCAACGUCUACAAAGCAUCCUCAGGCUCUCCAUCAGAGAUGCAGCUAAAGGUGGGUGUCAGAUAAUUCCAAGCAGUAGCUCUUAAGUAACUACAAAUGGUUUUCCAUCAACGGCACAAACAUUUAUCAUUUUUUGCAAGGUAGAUUUUACUUCUUGCUGUAAUAUGCUAAUAACAUUGCAUUAGGGUAUCUGAUAGCUUCUCCAUCUGGGUUUUUUUCUUUCUUUUUUUUUUUUCUUUUUUUUUUUUUCAUUUUUAUCUUCAGCUGCAUAUGGUCUUAGCAUAAGGAGUUUAAGUCUAUGACACAACUGGAAGCCUUAGCACAUGCCACAUGAAAGACAAGACAUAAUUAAAGAGGAUCCAAUAUCACAAAAAAUAAAAUUACACUCCAUUCUGUAGGGCUAACAACUAAAAGAAAAAUGUAUCAUCAGAAUGUAACAGACAUUUCUUGAAUCAAGAAAGGGUCAUCUGACUCACCCCUCUUGGACAUCUUAUUUCCUCAUAAAAGAUACUUAAUUGAUUCUUUAAUUUGUCCCAGGAACCUUGUUAGGGAGAAUGUGACAUAGCUUUUGCUCAGUAUGUGGCAUUAAGUCUGCUCCAAAUUCAGCUUACAUUUCCUCAAAAAUAUCUGUGAUUUUCUGUAAGGUUUAAAUAACGUCUUGAAGUUUCUCGCUUGCAUAAUAAAUACUUUAAUCAAACAUUUCAAUUAACAGAUCUCUUAUAUGAAUUUAAGUCAAACCUGGCAGCCCUGCAGACUGAAUUCCAUGCUUUAGCCAGGGAGCAGGAGCAGGAGCAAGGCAAGCAGCCACUUUGAAUGUCUCUGCCAAUGUCUCAGCUGUGACCCUUAGGGACAGCUUUUAAGGACCGAGAAGAGUUUAGGCUUCCUCAUUAUCCUUCCAAGAAAAUGUAAUUUCCUGUUGUCACACCACAAAACCGAGAGAGCACCAGUGACAGAUGGUGUGACUGCAGAUGAGAAAGAGCUGGGCUGUUUGGUCAGCCUUUGACAGAUGAACUUUGUCAUCACCAGUCUGCACCGGACCCCUGUGGGGAAUCCAUCCAGCUCCCUGGGGGUUCAUCACUUGCGCAAUGCCUUCUCAAGCAGAGGAGGAGCUGACAGGCAGGUGAAGCAGGUUGGUCACAUCACCUUCCCAAGUUCAAAAGAACUUCUCAGGGAACCAUUUUGGAAUAUUGCAUCAGUGAUGAUGGGGAUGGCCAUAAAUAGAUGCUCUCCUGAUGGCUCAGAACCAGCUCUCCAUUUCACUGAUUGACUUGUCAUUCAUAUCAUCAGCCUUGGAUGGGAUUUUCGUGUUCCAAAGCUUUAAUGACCAUAAUGCGUUAACUGACUAAUCUGAAAAAAUUACUCGGGUGUCCACCGUAUCAGCCUGCGGGGAGGAGAUCUGCGUGGCUUUGUCUUUCAAGUUAUUUUGUUCGGUGUUUCAGAGAAGCGAGUCACAGGUGGGCAUUCAGCCCUCAGCGCGCUCCUAUGUUCAGCAACAGCUGCUAAACACACAGAGCCCGGUCAGGAUGCUCACGGGGCCAGGAGAGCAGCACGGCCUGAAAGGCAGGUGCAGCACAGGACAGAGACACCAAGCUCUUGAACUUCUUUGGGGAGGAAGAAAAUUCCCUUUCAUUUUGCAGCACAACACCGUGUAUGCAGUAUUACCAGAAGAAAGUGAACAAACAACUCAGUAGUUGGCUACCUUGUUUCAUCCGUUUGAUAGGGUAAAGGAAAUAAAGAAGUAUCUUGAAAUUCAGAGACAGAAAAUCCAUGGUUUUUUUCGUCUGAGUAAAGUUUCUUAAGAAACCUUACUGGCUGGAACCAGCACGGCAACUUCUUCUUUACUUCCCUUUGUUGUCAGUCCUAAGGUAUUCCUUGGAUAAAGGAGAAGGCGACUCAUGAAUCACCGUGGCUCUUUGGAGGUACGAGGCCCAUCCUGGUGAGGCUGCAAACUCAUCACAAACUGCAUGACGGUGAUCACUGAUAGCCACCCUCCCCCGCUGCACAUACAUUUUCUGCCACCACCAAUCGUCCAUCGAGGCAUCAGUUUUAGCCUUUGACUUGACUUUCAGGUGGUAUCCCUAAUUAAAUCCAUUUUGACUGAAAGGCACCUUGGAUCCAUCCUUUACAUUUCCAUGAGUCUGGCACAUGAGGUAAUGCCGAAAUAUUUAACAUGGGAUUUCUUCAGAGAUUUCUUCCCCAUUAUAACAUCACUUAUCCCACCAUAGACUCCCCACCGCAUCCCAACCAUCAGAGCUACUUCUUUCCCCUCCCUGAAAACCCACCAGUCCUUUCACUUUCUGCUUGCCUCAUUCCAUACCUCUUUCCCCAGCUGCUUAACAGCCCUGGGAAGCCCCAGGGCCUCCUUAGGCAGUUUGUCUGUCCCGGCUGACGGGAGCAGUGGUGGAAGGCAACGCAUUGCCUCUGCUCUGCCGCCGGGUGGGUGGCAGGCAGGCACGGCUGGGGAUUGUCCUUGGCUCAUACACACGGCAACUGGGAAUGUCAGGUCUGGUUCUGAUUUUGCUUUGCAAGCAUAUUCAAAACCUUGGGCCGGGUAUAUACGGCAGAUUCAAAAGCAAGUAAGGUUUAGUUCUGGUGCAUAUUAUAUCACUGUUCGAGUCACUGAGGCAAGAACUCCCUUCGCUGACCAACCCCUCGGGAUAAUCAUUCUGAGCUCCUGCAGUAAUGGAAAAGGAAAGACUGUUGAGUCUGUGAUGAUGUGCCCCAGGGCUCAUCAGGCACUGGCAGGUUUUUUAGUGAAGAAAAAGCAAAAUUAAUUAGGCACUUCCUUAGAACCCCUAUGUGUGCAGCAUUUGAUUAUUUGAUAUCUUUAAUGGUGAUGAUGAUGAUGUCAUUUUACAGGUUCCCCUAUGACCUUAAUUGCGACCUGAAUUUCUACUGGGGAUAACAGUACAACCAAACUCAAAUGUUAAUCAAAAUCUCAUCACAGUUUUGUAAGUAACACAGGCCUGACAUACGCUUAACAUACAAAUUCUUGAUUUAGAAAAAGGCAGGGAAAGAAGAAAAAAGAUACAAGUCAACUCUGCUUUCUCUGAAGGUCACAUUUAUGCAAUGAUCCCAUUUUGCAAAAGUCCAAACCAUUUUUCUAGGUCACGUUCUGUCUAAAAAUCCUCAUUUAUCAAGUCCACGUGUGAACAGCUUGCAAAACACCUCUCAGUCCUACAAAAUGGCAGGGUCCCACAAACGCGCUACUCUCAUCAUCCUCACCGAAACGCUGAGGGCUGGCUCGGAAGCUGGGUCGUGUAAUCUCCUAUGUGCUUUGAGGUUAGAGUCUUGCUGCCUCACUUCCCUAUCUCUCUCAACAUGUCUUCUCACUUCCUUUUGCUGUAGUCUUGUUGUUAGCCUUUCCUUUGCUCACCUCCCCAAAGUAUCUGUUCGCAUUCUUUGUAAAAUAAUUAUCUUCCAGAACACAUAAUGCCACAGACUUAUUUGUCUUCCAGAAUAUGUAAUGCCACAGACUUACCUUCCCUAAUGUUUAAAAGUAAGCUAUUUCUACAUCCUUAGCUGUGCAACCUUGUUUUGUUGGGAGUUCAGCUCACAAGGCGUUUCAAACCUGGUAACAUAGACUGGGAAAAGAUGGACAGCACACAACAUUUGCUGUGCAAAAGUUAGACUUCUUUAAUACUACGGAUGGGUAGCAGGAAGUAAAACCCAUCCUUGUGCCUUGGCAGGUCAGGAGUAAAGUUCAAGCUAUGCUAGAACUGCAGACUGGCCAUCAACCUGCUUCAUCCUGGAGGAUAUCCAAGCAACUGCCUCCCAUUCACAUUGCAGAUGUUCGCUGCUUUAGGUAAUAGACUUACAUGUCUGUUUUCCUGCUAUUAAAAGGGAAGCACUUCAGUAACUGAGUAAUGUUUGGUCUAGUCUAAGAGCCUGUCACCCCAUCAUGGCCAUUGCUCGUGGAUACACGGAAUGAUGAGAACACAGGAAUCCAUGAAUGGUCUGGAUUCACACUGAAAUGCCUUACGUCAUCCAGCUUGGGUGAAACCUCAGCUAUAAGUGUUAAAGAGAAAAUCUUUCUCUACUUUGAACAAAACUGUGAAACCAAGUACAGAAAUUCUGUCAGGUCUCAAAACACGCAUACAGAUGUUUUGGUGAAGUUUAGUGUUUUCUCUACAAAGCCUACAGCCCGUCACCUUUGGUCAUCCCAGGACACAUUAACCAACCGAGGCCACGGUACAUCCUUACCUUUAGUCAUAAAAAUUCUCCUUCAUGAAAUGCCACUUGCUGAAAAACCAGAGACAACCUCACUGACCUGGAAGGUUCUCCAGUUCCUUUUGGCAGUAGGUGCUCAAAUUCGAUAUGCUGAUGCUAAAUGGCUUAGCAUUAACAGCAAAAUAACUUAACUGCCUGCCCCAGAAGGUUAAACUAUAAGAAGCCUCUUAAAAAACGCUCAGUGCAAUGGAUGAGCACUAGGUUCUGUGGCACAAGGUUGGGGAUCAGCCUUCCUCUGUACUCGGCGUGUGGCUGUACAGCAGCAGGGAGCAUCAGUGCAGGUGAGAACGUUUGUAAGUAUUACCUUUGAAAUGUAAAGAAAUAAAAUUAUCAGGUUUAGAUGGAAAGAAAUAACCUGAUGGAAUUACAUUUGACAUUCAUCUACGAAUAAAGAUAUUCUACCAUGAUAAGGAUUUAUACUUAAGCAAUUCUUUCCCCUUUAAGGAACUUAAAAAAUUCAGCAGCUUGGGAAUUGGUGUUGCAGAUUCACACGUGUUGACAAGCUGUUAUGCCCGCCUUACAAGUCACCUGGGGUCCAUGGAUGCUUGCCAGCCUGCCCGGGAUGGUCUGCUGUGAUGGCAGCUCAGGUGUAUGGUAUUUAGGUUUUAUGUAGCUGGCACUAACGUACAGCAAUAAUGGCAUUGUGAAUGAAUGCUUCCAAUAUGCAGAUACCACUUUGCUCACCACAAAUACAUAGAUUCCUGACUAAACGCUCCAGCUUUAAAGCGCUGCAGCACAGUUUAUACAAUGGACUAGGAUUAAAAGCAAGUAGAAGAAAGAACAUGGAGCAAAAGAGAAACAGUGAGGAGUAACUCCUCCCACCAAAAUCAAUGUUUCUUGUCAGGCAAAAAAUGGCUGGUCAACAGAAAUAAAUUGCUAAGUUGCUUCAGGGAAGCACAUUUCUAGUUAGAAAAAAAACAACACAUAAAAAACAACCACCACCACCACCCCCCAAAAAAAGAAAGAAAAAAAGCAAAAGAAAGAAAGGUAGCCUGUGGUUAAAAAGACUUAUUUUCUCCAACUGUUUUCCAAGCCCUUUUAAAGACAAGCCCCAGACGUAAUCCAGGGCAUGACAUACUUAAAGUUCUGUCCUUGAAAUAUUUUCUUUUUGUCCUCUCCCUCCCAGUCAGGAGUUACAUGAAGUCAUGCAUCUGCAACAAAUUACAGCAUUCCAGAUCUGCAUCUAGCAGUUGAGUCUGGGGGCCCCGUACGUUUCAGCGUCCUUCAAGGCUCCUUUCAGCCACUACGAUCUGACAAUGUCUGGAUGUCUUGCCAGGGCUAAGCAUCCAUCUAAGGAGCUGUGUUAGAAGUAGUUUCCUUAAAAAAAAAAAAAAAAAAAAAUCUGCAGAACAGCUCUACCAGAAAGUUCUCCAAACAUGUCUAAAACUGCCCUGCUCACUGCAGGAACCUUAGAUGUUCCAAAAAUGUGGGUUCCUGAGGGGCCAAGCAAAACUGCACGGCUUGCACAGUGAACCUCCAAAGCCGUUAGAAACUCCUACUUCCAAGCCAUAAUUGUUGCUGUAUUUUGCCUAGGAACAGAAUCUGAAAUUGCUGUUUUAGAACUAGAGAGAAAAUGGCCAUUUGGUAUGUAGCAUGACUGACCUGGCUCUACCCCGCACGCGUUUCACUGCUGGUAACUGUUAUCCCACUGGAAAACCAGCAGAUGCAUCCCUCAUCUAAACCGUGGAGAUAAGGGAUGUGUAGCUGCAGCCACACCCCAUGGUCCAGUUCUCCCGCACCACCCAGUGCUAAGGAGUGACUGAUACACCUGAUGCCCCCGCUCAUCCGCAAAGCACUUCUACAGCUCUAGAACAGUUUAUUCUGCUUCAAGCACCCAUUUAGAGACUGCUGUGCCUUGCACCUGCUGAAGCUCCCCGUCAGCCUUGCUGAGGAGAGGGUAGAAAGUAAUCUGACCCACAACUCAAGAAAUUAAUAAUAAUGUGAAGUGCUGACUCCCAUAAAGCCACACCAGCCCAAGGCGGAUCUCCCAUCCCGAGACCAGACCAGGGCAGCAGCCUCAGCUUUUUUGUGUUUUCAGCUGGAAAGUGAGUUACACAGGACAAAGUCUUUGGAGCGCUUUCCUGUCACUCAUCUGCCAAAAGCAGAGCCUGAGGUGAGAGGGCCACAAUGCAAAGGACACUGAAUUGAGCUUCAUUUUCUGGAUUCACGUUGUGUCUCAUCAUUCAUGUUCCUGAAUUUUUUAAAAAGCAGGUAGUUGUUAUGGCAAUUAGCGCUCGGUGGGUUUAACUUUUUUGUUGUUGUUUCAGACUAGGCCACAAGAAGAUAGAAACAAAAAAAAAAAGGAGAAGAAUCCUGAAGGCAAAUGAUUUUGUUACAUAAAACAGCAGAAUAAAUGAGUCAAGCAUCCUUUAAGCUAACCUCAAGAGUGGAAAUGCAUGCCUGGGACUCGUAUCAACUAGCAGCCCCUACUACUACAGCUAAUGGGCAAUACUCUUUUUUUCUGAGGGUGGGGUAGGCAAAAGAAUUAUUUGCUAUUAUAGCUGCAACAUUAAUGCAAAGCCUUUGAAUACACCUCAAAGGCUACAGUAGUUGUUUAGAAUAGUUCUCGCUUUCCAUGGGUUCCUUACAUGAGUAUCGAGGCACCUUAAUGCCAAAUCCGUAGCAAGCAACUUCCCCGCUUCGAAACGGUACUUUGAGCAGCCCUUUUCAGAAAGGCUGGGGGUCCCUAUCUUCCAACAACUUUUAAGUGCACCUUGGAAGAAAAUAAAGCUACUUACCAUAAAGAAAAAAACCGAGAGAGAGUUGGGAAUAGAAGCCAAAUCUUGACUUCCAAUACAUUUUCUUAUCGAUAGGGCUGUCCUUCCUUCCCUCCUCCGCUCAGAACCUGGAAAUAUCAGCCUGCCCGCACCAUGCUGGGACGCGAGUUACUGGAAAUAAGGCAGCAGACCCAGUCACAAAGGUGGCUUACCAACAGAAGGCGCAGCAAAUUUAGCUACCUGCCUUCCAACAGGACCCGAAGCAAAAGGCAGGACAACAGGCAGGUGGUAACUGGGCUGUCAGAGGCCGCUUCUGCAGCAUUUUGAACUCACAUCUCUGAAGUUUCUGCACUGUUCCGGAAACCUUCCCCGUCAGGAGCACACGGCUGGAGGGGGAUGCUAGGCUGCCCUCAGCAACAGGUGCUUCGAUUUAAACACCCCCAACCUCUUGUGUUGUUUUGCCUGUUCAACCUGUGCUGUCUACUCGACAGUUUGCAAGCAUGAUGCAGUUCCCACAAAAACAUUCUGUAUCGCAGACGUGUGCCGUGCUCAUGCUGCACUGAAAGCUCCAAGAAUUCCAGGCCCCUGAAAGUCUUUUCUGCUCAAUGAAGCAGGAGGCUACCCUGCCACACUGGGUAUGCACCGCAUGGAAAGCAACGCUGCCACGUUUUAGCAGGGUUACUGAUGUCAGAACAGAGACCAAAAAUACACAAAAAUAUCCUUGUAAUAAAAGGAGGCUGAUCAUUCCGUACAGGAAAUUUUUUUCAUGAUCAAGUAGUGCAGAUGAGGAGUGGAAGACUGAAGGAAAUGAAGGCAGACUCAGAGGGUGAACCUUCUGUGAUAUUUAACAGAUCAGCUUAGGUACUGAAAUAAAAAGGUGGCUUCCUUAAAAAAACCAAACACCACCACACACACAAAAAAUUCAAGGACCUCCUAUGCAAAGAUACCUUCAUAUUUUGUGUUUAAAGGCACAAGAGUAAAAUAUUUCUUCUACUGUUCCACUGGUCCUCAUUUGAUUAUGUGCUUUUUAAUUUUCAGUGAUUACCUUGAUUUCUCCAGGUACAUGGAAUAAAUUUACAUGACCCUAUUAACUCAAAUCUUAAACAGUUGGAUUUAAAAAAAAAAAAACAAACCACAAGCAUUUCCAGGUCACGUUAUUUCACAUAGCUUACAUUUCAAUGUUUAGAGCAAAGUAGUUUACCAUGCAAAAGUUGAAAGUCAAAUCCUUCCAGUAAAGGAAGUAGGCAACAUCUUCAUUAAAGCUUUUCUAAGUGACACAACUCACAUUUGCUAUGGAAUAAGCUAUGGUCUUCCCUUUCUGAAAGUGGAUCCAACAUCCCCAAAGGAAUUUUUUAGUCAUGGUCUGCCAAUUUGCAACACUUCCAGACUGGAAUGCAGCCCUUUGUUUUGUACAUGUAUUUGAUUACUGCUUUUUCCUUUUGAAAAGUCCUUCUCGUAUUAAAGAAGUCACUGUUACUUUUUUUCAGUGGUAAUUGAGGGAUAUACUAAGGUCUCCCUUAGGAAGCCUCAUUAACCUUUGCCCUCCAUAUUCUUCCCGUUCUUAAUCAGAUUCUAAUUUUUAUUACCUAUUAUAAUGUAUUAUUACCUUUCCAUUCUAGGAAUAACUACUGUCCCUAACCGCUUUUUUUUUUUAGGAUUAAGAUCAUCCUACCCACCUUUUCUAUCAAUCCCAAUCCUUAAAUUCUGGGACAAAGGGCUCAGAUGCUUCUAGAAACGUAACAUAAUUUCACUCGGAAUGUGAUGUAUUUUAACCUUUUAAUACUGAAUUUCUGAAAAUUCAGACCUGUAACUUAAGUCCACUGCACACGCAAAAAGGUAAGGCAAUGGAGUUCAUGUUCAGUGACUCGAUCCAUCUUACUGUUCCAGGUAUCAGAUUAACCUGGUGACACCCAGGAUAACUUUUAUGCCCAAAUAAACAGUAUCUAAACCCAGAAAAUACUUGCACUGUGCUUAAAGGUGCAGCUCAAUCAGGAAAAAGGCCACUCAAGCUUCCCUCAUGUUAACUACAUAAAUAUAAGAAUAUUUCAAUACAGUUCAAUUAUUUUCCGAGAGUCUCUGUUCUUGACAGAGAUGCGAUACUGUUUGGAAGCAAGUCUCAGUUUCCCUGUGAUUAUUUCAGUUUCAAACCACAUACCUACAAGUGCCAGAGUCGUUCUGUGGAUACCACCAGUGCAGACCUCACUAGGCAUGAGGAAAGGAAGAGCAUCGUUACUCUGGGGAGCCUUUCCACAAACCCAGAUGCGGUCUGUGAACCCCCUGAACUCUAAAACGCCUGCUCAGUUCUCUUUUACAGAGCCAAAAGCAGCAAGCCUGGGGUUUCCAUGCAAGUCUGCUCUUCGAGAACUUCAUAUGCCUUUUGCCAUAAGUGUGGGGACCGUAUGUUUGUUAAGGUAUCUCCAGUGGUCCAGCCGGACAGUCAGAAAGCUGCAGGCAUCUAAAAGUUGUAAACUAAUUAAUUAGAGCAAUCUUAACAGAUACGAAGUAUUAAAUCUUGACUUCCCUGAAAUUAACUAAAUGCCUAAAUGUGUAAUAAUAUUUUCCGUAAUAAAAAUACUUCCCUGUUGAAUUUGAGUAUAACACUGCUAUUCCUCUAAAAGAUGUGGGAAGACAGAUGACAUGAAAUCUACACCAAAGGUAGUUGAAAACUCCAUUCAUAAAACUUUUAUUCCACUUACAUCAACUUAAUACACAUGUUCUGAACAGUUAUGCUUGGAUUGUUCAUGAAAAUUUCAUAAGACAUUAAACAAAGCUAGCCAUCAUCUCAAGUUAUUUCCCUGUUAACUAUUUUUACAGCACAUGCAUGUUAGGCAAGUAUCAAAAAAAAAUAAUCACAAAAGCAAAAAACCUAAAAAAGUUAAAUACAUGGGUUUUUGUUUUACUGCUGUGCUCGAUAUACAGUGUCAUUAUGGAUAUCAAGCGAUUCAUUUUUUACUGCAUCUUUACUUGUACAUUUGUUCUUAGGUUGCUUAAACCAUUUAAAUACAAAUAAAAUGUGUAGCAAAAAUAAUGAAAGCAACAGCAGGUAACUUUACAAAUAAUGGAAUGUGAACCGUUUCUCUGUCCUUCUCUAGAGAAAAUUGCCUGGGUUAUCAAACUGUCUUAAGGAACACUUCAGCUGCAAUCAAAGAUGUACACUUGAUCGGUAUAUUCCAAAGAUUUCACAUGUUGACUUGACAUGCAAUAUCUAUAGGACAUCAGUUUAUUCACAGCCAUGCGUGCUCCAGCUUGAAUACUCAUGCUAACUACACCUGUGGCUGCAACUGAUUAUCCCUUUUUUCCAUCAUGACAGACCAAUAUGCAAGCAGUCAUCUUUGCUUGACAUAGAAAGCUGUUUUAACACUGGCCUUGUGGGAAGCCACAAUGUACCAAAAGUACUAUGCCAAACAUGUAAAACUUGUAUAAAAAUUUCACAACCCUAUAUUGGCCACCUCAGAUGAAAACAGGUAAAUUCCCCAAAUGUUAACUGGCUCUAUUCCCCUAAUAUUAAACAAAACCACAUGGGAAAUAUAGAAAUCCAAAUAGAAGUAACAUAAACCUGUCAAAUCGUAAACAAAAACUA